GAUGCAUCUAGAUUAGCCUUUGAUCCUGGCUCAGGACGAACGCUGGCGGCGUGCCUAACACAUGCAAGUCGAACGGGGAUUUUGUUUCGGCAGAAUCCUAGUGGCGAACGGGUGAGUAACGCGUAGGCAACCUGCCCCCCGGCCGGGGACAACACGCCGAAAGGUGUGCUAAUACCGGAUACGAAGCGAGCACCGCAUGGUGCUUGUUUGAAAGACGGCCUCUAUUUAUAAGCUGUCGCCGGGGGAUGGGCCUGUGUUUUUAUUAGCUGGUUGGCGGGGUAACGGCCCACCAAGGCGACGAUCGGUAGCCGGUCUGAGAGGAUGGACGGCCACAUUGGGACUGAGACACGGCCCAGACUCCUACGGGAGGCAGCAGUGGGGAAUCUUCCGCAAUGGGCGCAAGCCUGACGGAGCACGCCGCGUGGGUGAGGAAGUUUUUCGGACGUAAGCCCUGUUGUUUAUGACGAACGGCCCUUCUGUGACAUGGAGGGAUGACGUAUAGACGAGAGCACGGCUACUACGUGCAGCAGCGCGGUAUACGUAGUGGCAGCGUGUCCGGAUUAUGGGCGUAAGGCAUGUAGCGGUAUGUAGUCUGUCUGACUGGGGCACCCCCUGCAUGACUGUUCUUUUGCGAAGAGGGACCCCUACGAUGUAUGAACUGAGCUUCGUUCAGACGAGACGCAUG
rnacentral:rRNA from 1 species